AUUGGACGCUGGCGGCAGGCCUAACACAUGCAAGUCGAGCGGAUGAAGGGAGCUUGCUCCUGGAUUCAGCGGCGGACGGGUGAGUAAUGCCUAGGAAUCUGCCUGGUAGUGGGGGAUAACGUCCGGAAACGGGCGCUAAUACCGCAUACGUCCUGAGGGAGAAAGUGGGGGAUCUUCGGACCUCACGCUAUCAGAUGAGCCUAGGUCGGAUUAGCUAGUUGGUGGGGUAAAGGCCUACCAAGGCGACGAUCCGUAACUGGUCUGAGAGGAUGAUCAGUCACACUGGAACUGAGGCACGGUCCAGACUCCUACGGGAGGCAGCAGUGGGGAAUAUUGGACAAUGGGCGAAAGCCUGAUCCAGCCAUGCCGCGUGUGUGAAGAAGGUCUUCGGAUUGUAAAGCACUUUAAGUUGGGAGGAAGGGCAGUAAGUUAAUACCUUGCUGUUUUGACGUUACCAACAGAAUAAGCACCGGCUAACUUCGUG
rnacentral:rRNA from 1 species